rnacentral:rRNA from 1 species
AGAGUUUGAUCCUGGCUCAGGAUGAACGCUGGCGGCGUGCCUAAUACAUGCAAGUCGAACGAAGAUCUUAGGGAAUAAGCUUGCUUAGGAAUUUUGAUCUUAGUGGCGGACUGGUGAGUAACACGUGAGCAACCUGGCUUUCAGAGGGGGACAACGGUUGGAAACGACCGCUAAUACCGCAUGACAUAGUUUUAAGGCAUCUUGAAACUAUCAAAGGAGCAAUCCGCUGAAAGAUGGGCUCGCGUCUGAUUAGAUAGUUGGUGAGGUAACGGCUCACCAAGUCGACGAUCAGUAGCCGGACUGAGAGGUUGAACGGCCACAUUGGGACUGAGAUACGGCCCAGACUCCUACGGGAGGCAGCAGUAGGGAAUAUUGCACAAUGGAGGAAACUCUGAUGCAGCAACGCCGCGUGAAGGAAGACGGUUUUCGGAUUGUAAACUUCUUUUCCCAAAGAAGAAAAAAAUGACGGUAUUUGGGGAAUAAGCAUCGGCUAACUACGUGCCAGCAGCCGCGGUAAUACGUAGGAUGCAAGCGUUAUCCGGAUUUACUGGGUGUAAAGGGUGCGUAGGCGGACUUUCAAGUUGGAUGUGAAAACCGGGGCUUAACCCGUGAUUGCAUCCAAAACUGUAGGUCUUGAUUGGAGUAGAGGUAAGUGGAAUUCCGAGUGUAGCGGUGAAAUGCGCAGAUAUUCGGAAGAACACCGGUGGCGAAGGCGACUUACUGGGCUCUAAAUGACGCUGAGGCACGAAAGUGUGGGGAGCAAACAGGAUUAGAUACCCUGGUAGUCCACACUGUAAACGAUGAUAGCUAGGUGUAGGGGGUCUGACCCCCUCUGUGCCGGAGUUAACGCAAUAAGCUAUCCACCUGGGGAGUACGAUCGCAAGAUUGAAACUCAAAGGAAUUGACGGGGACCCGCACAAGCAGUGGAUUAUGUGGUUUAAUUCGAAGCAACGCGAAGAACCUUACCGAGUCUUGACAUUUAACUAACGAAGCAGAGAUGCAUUAGGUGCCCUUCGGGGAAAGUUAAAACAGGUGGUGCAUGGUUGUCGUCAGCUCGUGCCGUGAGGUGUUGGCUUAAGUGCCGCAACGAGCGCAACCCCUGCCAUUAGUUGCUACGCAAGAGCACUCUAAUGGGACCGCCGAUGACAAAUCGGAGGAAGGUGGGGAUGACGUCAAAUCAUCAUGCCCCUUAUGACUCGGGCCACACACGUAAUACAAUGGUCGUUAACAGAGGGAAGCAAGGGAGCGAUCCGGAGCCGAACCCUAAAAACGAUCUCAGUUCGGACUGUAGGCUGAAACUCGCCUGCACGAAGUUGGAAUUGCUAGUAAUCGCGGAUCAGCAUGCCGCGGUGAAUACGUUCCCGGGUCUUGUACACACCGCCCGUCACACCAUGGGAGUUUGUAACACCCGAAGUCGGUGACCCAACAGUAAUGAGGGAGCCGCCGAAGGUGGGAUAAGCGACUGGGGUGAAGUCGUAACAAGGCAGCCGUAGGAGAACCUGCGGCUGGAUCACCUCCUU